UGACCAGGACAAUUGGAUUGAUUAAAAUUAUUCUAAACUUGGGAGGAAAAUAAAAGAAGAAAACUAAUCCUAAAAAAAAAGCAAAACAAAUAUAGGAACCUAAUAACACUAUCAUCUGUUCCCUUUGAGAAUACUCAAAACAAUCCAUUUUCUUUCAGAAUACACAAGAAAGAGGAAUGUUUCCCAUGUUCCUUUGACAUUUUCCUUCUCUCCUCCCUAGAGAGCAACAGUCAGAAAGGAAAGAAAGUUAUAGUUAUGUUCUUUGGACAUUAUCAGUGGGUCCUGGAACUAUAGGACUAAUCCAAAAUAGAAGUCUGGUGAGGGAAGAUUUGGGGUCUUAUUCUAAUUUUGCCCUCCAUUUUCAGAUAUUCAUACCCUUUAUAUUUUCUCUCCCUUCAUAGAUGUUCAAGUUUUCAAUUUUUCCUUUCACAAUAAGAUGUAAAUGACCAGUGAUUUAAAUUUUUCUCUCUCCUACUUACAGGCUUCCUUUCUUGGGUUCUUUAAAGGCUUAGAUAACGCUUAGGUCACUGGCCUCUUUAAGUCCCAUCAAAAAUCCUGUCUUCUAUAGGAACACUUUCCCAACCUCUUUUAAUUCUAGAGCACUGAGCCUGGUGUCUUCCCUCCAUAAAUUAUUUCCUACUUAUUCUAUAAAUAGCUUCCUUGUACAUAAAUGUUUGCUUGUUGACUCCCAAUUAGAUUGUGGACUCCUUGAGAGCAGAGACUGUCUUUUGUCUCUUUUAAGUACGCCCAGUUUUUAGCAGAGUGCCUGGAACAUAGUAAGUGCUUCAUAAAUGUCUAUUUGCUAACCCAACACUCCAGAGGAGUGCCCAAGGCAUCUGGACUUAGCUCUUUGUUUUGUUUUGUUUUUUUUCCUGGUAUCAGCCAUGGCAAAAUAUUGAAUCUAUCUACUACCAAAAGGAGGAAAAAGUUAUAGGUUUUCAUUUGUGAAAAUAUCAAUUUUGAAAAUGCAAACUCUACUUCCUUUUUUCUUUUUUUUAAUUCCAAAUUUUACAAAACCAAAUAAAACAAGCAUUUCCAUAUACAAAGAAGAUUGUACAUAAACGAAAUAUAAUCUCUUAAGUUUAACUACUUAUCUUCAUAUCUACAUAAUAAAUCCCAUCCACAAAUGUCCCAAACCCUCCCCACCCUCCUCUCAUUCAGAAGUUUUGGUAUAUGACUGAUAUGUUCAUACAAAUUAAGAUUUUCAUGUUUUCACCUUUCAGUUCACUGUCUGGAGGUAAUAUUCACAAUUUAUUCUUCCAGUAUCAGUUCUACAGUUGUAUAUAAUGUUCUCUUGGUUCUACUUAUUUCACUGUUUAUUAUCUUAUGUAGUCCUUUCAAAGUUUUUUUUUUUUAAAUUAGCCUGCUGAUCCCUUCUUAUUGCACAGUAGUAUCCCAUCACAAUCAAAUAUCAUAAUUUGUUUAGUCACUCUUCAAUUGAAGGGCAUCCCCUAAAUUUCCAAUUCUUUGCCAUGUUUUUGUUUUUAUCACUGGCUUUCUUACAACAUACCUAGAAAUUUGUAGAUGAUAGAAAACUUGGGAGUAUAGUUAGUAAACUAAAUAUCAGACUUUGGAUUCUUAAAGAUAUGGAAUGUUUAAAAUAUUUAACUGAAUUUAAUAAGACAAAUUUUUAAAAAAUAAAUGUGUAAUCUUUCACUUAGACUCAAAAAUUCAACUUCAUUGGAAGAAGUAUAAUUAAUUGGCAGUUUCAAAAAAUCUGGGAGUUUGGUGGACAACAAACUCAAUAUAAGUCAAUAAUGUGAUUAGUUGUUGUUCAGUCUUUUUCAAUUGUGCCUAUUGCAAAAAGGAAAUGUAGGCUAGAUAUCUAGAAAAACUUUCUCUUACAAUUAAAUUUAUAUGAAAAUAGAAUGGGUUUCCUGGGGGGUUAGUGGCUUUUCCCUAUUUGAAGGUCAUUAAAUAAAAGCAUGAUGGCCCAUUUGUAAUGAUGCAGAGAGUAUUCUUCAAGCUGCUUGGGUUAGGCUAGAUCUCUAAAGAGCUCCCUCCUCGCUAAUUAUUCUGUGACUAAACCAGGAGUAGUAGAGUGUAGAAUGUUAGAAAGAGAAUACAGGUGAGCAGGGUUUAGGAAACCUGUCUUUUAAGGACCACAGUUUGAUGCCUUUUGAAUGAGUUGUUGUUCAGUCAUUUUUCAGUUGUGACCAACUCUUUAUGACUCCAUUGUUUUCUUGGCAUAGAUACUAAAAUGAUCUCCUGUUUCCUUCUCCAGUUCAAUUAACAGAUGAGGAAACUGAGGUAAGCAGAGUUAGGUGGCUUGCCCAGAGUCACAAAGCUAUGAAGUAUCUAAGGUUAGACUUGAACUCAUGAUGAUGUCUCCCUAUGCCAACUAGCUAUCCAGGGUUUCCUAUGAUCAUAACUACCUCUGUGCCCAUGAGAAACAAUCUUCCUAGGUCUCAUUUUCUUCAUCUGUAAAAUGAGUGGAUCCUGAGAUUCCUUGCUAAUCUAAUUCAAUUACCCUAUAGAAGACUAUUUAAACUUUAAAGCAACCAUCCAUUUAGCAACUAUUUAUUGAAAGCCUACUAUGGAGGCAGGUAGGCGACUCAGUGUAUACAAAGCUAGAGACAGGAGGUCCUGGGUUCAAAUGUGACCCAGAUACUUCCUAACUGUAUGACCCUGAGCAAGUCAUUUAACCUCCAUUGGCUAGCCCUUACCACCCUUCUACCUCGAAACUAAUAUACAGUAUUGAUUCUAAGAUAGAAGGUAGGGAGGGAAAAAAAAAGGAAAGCCUUUUUACACAAAACACUCAUCUUCAGAGCAAAUAUUAGAGAUGUUAAAGAGAGAGAUUGAUUCUAAAAAACUAUGGUAUUAGACUAAAUGAUCUUUAAUAUAAUUCAUUUAUCUAGUGUUUUAAAGUUUGAAAAGUUUUUUAAUGUAUUAUCUCAUUUGAUCUUUUUAACAACCUGUGAGCUUGGCUCUGUUAUUAUCCUCAUUUAACAGAUUUUGAACCUGAAUCUCAGAGAGAUUAAGUAACUCACUAAGAGUCACUAAGCUAGAAAAAAUAUAAGGUGGGAUUUGAAUUCAAGGUUUUCUGAUGCUAAGUCCAUUACUCUAAUAACAAUAAUAAAUAUGAUUUAUAUAAUGCCUUAAGGUAAAAAAAGUUUUUUAAUGUAUUAUUUCGUUUUAUCCUCACAACAACCCUGAGAGGUAAGUGAUAUUAUUUUUCCAUUUGUUGAUUUUGUUGUUUAGUUGUUUUUGGUCAUGUCAGACUCUUCAUGACCCUAUUUGGGAUUUUCCUGACAAAGAUACUGUACUGGUUUGGCAUUUCCUUCUUCUCUGGUUCUUUUUCCAGAUGAGAAAACUGAUGCAUAGAGGGUUAAGUGAAUUUCCCAGGGUCACACAACUAGUGAACUGUCUGAGACAAUAUUUGAACUCUGGAAGAAGGGUCUUCCAAGUCCAGAACUCUAUCUACUGCACCACCUAGUUGACCCACUAGUUAUUUUAUAGGUAAGGAAACGUUGGGAUUUUUAAUUUUAGGAAGCAAGGAUUCUAUGGCUUGACCAAGGUGACACAGCUAGUAAAUGUCUGAGGCCAGAUUUGAAGUCAGUUCUUCUUGACUCCAGCCCCAGUAAUCUUUCCAUUGUGUCACUUAGCUGCCUUUACACUAAAGCUAUCACAAAUCACACAUAGCCACCCCAAAAAAAUCAAAGAAUAGAAUGGAUUCUUUCCUCUUCUUAAUUUUAUUAUUUAUUACAUUAUCUCUAUCUCCACAUUGCCUUUUGAUCUAAAGUCAAUUUAAGUUUCAAAAUUACUCUUAGCAUUUAUUUUAGUAUGAUUUUACCUGAUGAAAAAGUUCCCAGGGAAGAUCUUGCCUAGAGACAUGGUAAUAUGUGGUCAAUUUUUCCUCCACUGACAUUCUUCAUCACAUCUUUCAUUCUUUAUUCCAUAAUAACUUCUUUCAUCACUGACACAGUUCUUAAGACUGAAUAUAGAAGGACUUAUAGAUAAAUAGCAGACCAAAGAUUUUCUGGAACAGUAUGAUUCUACAACAAGUCUUGAUGGCUCAAAAGAUUAUGAAAAAGACAUAGUAUCUCCUCCCUAUUUAGCUGACCAUAGCAUUUAUGACUGAUGCACAAAGCAGACAGAUAAUCAGAGUCUGAAGACAUCUAAGGCAAGAGUUGUUCACUAAGAUUCAUUGGCCUACUCAAUGGGUACAUUGAUAGAUUUCAGAAGCAUAUAUAAACUUGGAUGAUAAAAUUCACAGUUUUAUUUCAAUAGAACUGGUUUCCUUUGUAAUCCUGUGUAUUCUAUGUGUUUAAAAUCAUUGUUCUAAGAAGUCCAGGCUCCACAGACUUUAGUUCAUGACACAAAAAUGGUUAAGAACCCUGUUUACCUAGCCACUUGUUGGGUGUCCCUAAAGACUAAAAUGCAGUGAUGGGACAGUGACCUCAGAUCUCCAUCCAAAUUGUCCACAUUACUCAGGGGAAGCCAAAACCAAUGAAAUAGAGAAAAGAAUCCAGUAAAAUUACAACCAAAAAUGAUUACUUUCGGUCCCUUAUCUGUGGAACAUGCAUUUCUUUGUAUGCCAGAUUGUCUAAUGAAUCUUUUAGGUAUUUAUUUUGUAUUUAUUUAUUAUGUAAAUUUAUUUAUUUAUGUUUUUAUUAAUUUAUUAUGUAAAUUUAUUUAUUAUGUAAAUUAAGAGCAACAACCCAAUAUACUGAUACUGGUGAUAUCUCAUUACAUCUGCCAGAAAAAUCUCUGAAAGAUUUUCCAUUGCUGUUCUUAGAUUUAGUCAGUACAGAGGAUGACUUAGAUUCAAUCUAUUCUAUACCUGAGGAUAUCCCUGAAGAUCUUUGGUCAAAGUCUUCCACAGAUAAUUCCUCAAACAUGUUCUUCACCAGUACUUCCAGAUUGGUAUCAACUACCACAAUCAAUGCUGUCUUUGGAAUUACACAUCUAUAAAUAUUCUUCAGAGGGUUCCAGAAGUUUCACAGAAAAAGAAUCCAGAAACUGAGUACUCCUAAGAUCAAAAAUCAACUCAGAGCUGUUCUUGGAAUAACUGGUUUCUGUAGACAAUGGAUACCUGGAUAUAGUGAAUUAACAAAGUGUCUAACAGAUUCCUAACCAGGAAUACAGAACCAGAACCUCUGAAACUAAGGUCUGAACAUCUGCAAGCCUUAAGUAAGUUGAAAGAAGUCAUCUUAUCUGCUCUAGCUUUGGGUAUCCCAGACUAUACAAAACCAUUCCAACUAUUUGUCACUGAAACUAAAGGUAUUGCUUCUAUGGUACUGAAAUAGACUUUAGGACAAAAUUAGCAUCCAAUUGGAUAAUAUAGUUGUCAUCUUGAUUCAAUAACUGCUGGUGCAGUUCCUUAUCUAAGGGGUAUAGCAGCUGCAACUGUGUUAGUCCAGAAGUCAGCAGAUUUAGUUGUACCAUUUACCAUAGACUCUGAUAGGGGAUCUCAUUUUACCCAAGAUAUCCUGAAAAGAUUCUAUGAAAAUCUAGGAAUAACACCCAAAUAUCAUGUUCUUUAUCACCCACAAAGUUCAGGUCAAGUGGAGUGUGUGAAUAGGGAACUCAAGACUAUGGUGGGGAAAAUCUGUGCUGAAACUCAUCUAAAAUGGCUAGAUAUUCUUCCCAUAGCUUUGUUUUACCUACAUACAAGAACAAGAGCAGAUUUACAUAUAUCAUCUUAAGAAAUGCUGUUUGGACAUACUCCAUUGUAGGCAAAAACUUGUAGGACAAUGUAUUCAUCUCUCUUAGAAGGAGAUUGUCAACAUGCUUCAUAUUUAAGUGCAUUGCAACAACAGCUUAGAGAACUGCAUUAUUUGGGAGUAUUGAUCCAAUCUGGUCCAUUGGAUUGUUUUCUUCAUAAUUUUCAACCAGGUGAUAUAGUAUAUGUAAAAAAUUUUGCAAAAACAUCAAGGUGGGUAGGUCCUUAUACAACUGUGUUAAUUUCUCCAUCUUCAUAAAAGUAUUAGGUAGAGAUUCAUGGUAUCAUUUUUCACAUAUAAAAUUAGCUUAUGGAAUUAAUAAUGAAAGUGUACAAUUUAUUGAAGAAGAAAAUGAAGACUAAUAAAUCGUGAGGAGCUGAGAUUCAUCGGGCAAAUAGAGUCUACAGUCAGAAAGAUCAAUAAGAAGAGGACCAUUCCAGUGGAUGAGGAUAUUUGGAUGGAAGAGGACAAUGCAGAUCAAGAGGAGGAUUCAGAAAUUAAUGGACAUUGUAAAAGACUUGAAAGACUAAUAAAUAUUAAAAAGAUAAAGACUUUGCAGGAAAUUUUCAAUGAAGAGGAUCAAGUAAUUAAUGAAUUCAUAGAUUAAAAUUUUGGGGGUUAAUGUAAUAUAACACAAAACAACAUAACAUAAAUUCACAUAAGCAUUCAUAAUUACAUUUUACUACCAUAGAUUGUGGAGAGGAAGAAUUCUUCAAAUAAGUUGAGAAGAGAAGGAAUAAUUUGAAGUUUCGGUAAGUAUAUUGCAUGCAACCAUAACACAACACUACCACAACAGUAUCACUGACAUGACACUAACAAAACAACAUAACAGAGCAUGAAUAACAACAUAACAAACACAUAUACACAAAAACAUAAACAUGGUUAGGUUACAUUGAAUCACUAGUUGAAUGAGUGAAACAACGUAUAGUUAGAGUACUAUAAUGUUAUAAUUAGUUAUAAAUUAGUUAAUAACAAAAUUAGUUAGCUACUUAGUUUGGUAUAGGCAUAUAGGUAAGUAAGACUAGUUUUAGGAGAUUUUAGAACAUAGGGCUUUAGUUAGAUAAGAUUAGAAUUUAAGACAGAUAAUAAUAUAAAGUAAGAUAUUGAACUAUACUACAACAUACAUUGCAACAUACAUUAUAUAGCACAAAUGACAUCACAUAUAUGAAAAUUGUAAAUAUAUGUAAAUAGUGUGUAUAAUAGGAUUAUAAAAUUAAUUUAUUAUAGUGCAUGUAUAUGUAUAUAUGGAACAUGUAUAAAUAUGAAGUAUAUAUGUUUAU